AAUAGCCUAACGGCUGAACCAGCAACUUGGAGGAAUGAAAGGCGGAAGCCACAUGUACAAUUUUUGUGAAAUUGUACAGCAGUAACAACGUUACAUAAAGUUCUAGAUAAAUAUUUGAUAAUGACAUCAUUUAUCUAUAAGUCUUGGCUAAAUCACGUGCCAGCAGUCGCGGUAAGACGUGGAAGACGAGUGUUAUUCAUCUUUAUUUGGUUUAAAGGGUACCUAGACAGUAAAUCAAGCCUAAAUCAGGGACUAGUUUACUAGAGUUUUAUAGGAGAAGAUGGUAGAGCGGUGAGUGGAGAGAUAAAAUGUUUUUAUACCACUGGAGACUGACAACAGCGAAAGCAAUCUUUUAUGUAAAAACUGACGUUGAGGGACGAAGGCUCAAUAUAAGCAAAAGGAUUAGGUACCCAAGUACUACGAGCAGACAAUGAUGAGUGCCAUAUGUAAGUAUAUUAAUACAUGUAUUGUAUUUAAUUUAUGUAUAAAUGAAAGUGUAAGCAUUCCACCUUAAGAGUAAUAUGGCAACAUAGGAAUUGAAAUCAUUAGACCGUUUCUGAAACCAGUAGUGAAGUAUGUUGUUUAAUUUGAUGACCCACAAAGAACCUUACCACUGCUUGAAUACUAAAAAUUUACAGGAGUUGCACGGCUGUCUUCAGUUGAUAUCGUGAGAUUUUGGUUAGUUCCAUUUAAUCAACGUAAACCCUUAUUUUAUUUGUUAUAAAAUAGCUCUGCCGCUACAUUGG
rnacentral:rRNA from 1 species